rnacentral:piRNA from 1 species
UUCAUAUUUUGAGGAUUAUAAUAUUAUAGU